AUUCACGACUCUAAGCGGUGGAUCACUCGGCUCGUGGGUCGAUGAAGAACGCAGCUAGCUGCGAGACUUGGUGUGAAUUGCAGGACACAUUGAGCACUCAUUUUUCGAACGCACAUUGCGGCUCCGGGUCACGCCCGGAGCCCCGCCUGUCUGAGGGUCGGAAA
rnacentral:rRNA from 1 species